rnacentral:ncRNA from 1 species
CAGAUGUUGGUUCGCCACACAAGAGCGAUUAAAAAGGGAAGUAGGUGCAAGUCCUACACAGUCCCGCUGCUGUAAGCCCUGUUGUUGAAAGGCAACGGCGCCACUGAGCCAAAACGGCUUGGGAAGGCUGCCUUUCAAUGGGUAAAGUCAGAAGACCUGCCAAUGUUUAA